rnacentral:snRNA from 1 species
UCUUGAACUUCAACAUGCU